AUUGAACGCUGGCGGCAGGCUUAACACAUGCAAGUCGAGCGGGGGAAGGUAGCUUGCUACCGGACCUAGCGGCGGACGGGUGAGUAAUGCUUAGGAAUCUGCCUAUUAGUGGGGGACAACAUCUCGAAAGGGAUGCUAAUACCGCAUACGUCCUACGGGAGAAAGCAGGGGAUCUUCGGACCUUGCGCUAAUAGAUGAGCCUAAGUCAGAUUAGCUAGUUGGUGGGGUAAAGGCCUACAAAGGCGACGAUCUGGAGCGGGUCUGAGAGGAUGAUCCGCCACACUGGGACUGAGACACGGCCCAGACUCCUACGGGAGGCAGCAGUGGGGAAUAUUGGACAAUGGGGGGAACCCUGAUCCAGCCAUGCCGCGUGUGUGAAGAAGGCCUUAUGGUUGUAAAGCACUUUAAGCGAGGAGGAGGCUACUUUAGUUAAUACCUAGAGAUAGUGGGCGUUACUCGCAGAAUAAGCACCGGCUAACUCUGUGCCAGCCGCCGCGGUAA
rnacentral:rRNA from 1 species